UCGGCAUUGUUGGCGAGGCUACCUGUGUUUUACGUUGCAACUUUCACAGUGCUGUGAACAUACUCUGGAAUCGGGGUGAUUCUCUGAUCUAUCAACCUGACGGUACAGCCCUGGGUGGCUCCAAUGGCACUUUUGCCCUGCAAACAGCGGGCACGGCCAUCGAGCACCGGGUGGUGGUCUCAUUGCUGGGCCGGGUGCGUACUGAAGUGAUCAACCCCUGAAACGAAACGGGUUCCAUCGGGAUGGGGCCCGACCACAAGUCGUAACAAGGUAACCGUAACUCACUGGGACUGAAACACGGCCCAGACUCCUACGGGAGGCAGCAGUGGGGAAUAUUGGACAAUGGGGGCAACCCUGAUCCAGCCAUGCCGCGUGUGUGAAGAAGGCCUUCGGGUUGUAAAGCACUUUCAGC
rnacentral:rRNA from 1 species